rnacentral:misc_RNA from 1 species
CAGAGUUCAUGCCCUUCGGGGUAGAUCUCCCACCCUCUGUUUACAUACUUUGUUGCUUUGGCAGGCCCGUCUUCGGACCGCCGGCUUCGGCUGGCCCGUGCUUGCCAGAGGAUUCAAAACUCUGAUAAUUAUGUCGUCUGAGUACUAUUAUAAAUAGUUA